rnacentral:rRNA from 1 species
UACGUAGGGGGCGAGCGUUGUCCGGAGUUACUGGGCGUAAAGGGCAUGCAGGCGGUCGGACGCGUUUCGGGUGACAGCGGGUGGCUUAACUACCCGAGUGGUCGAAAGACGGUUUGACUUGAGGACGCGAGAGGGACACGGAAUUCCGGGUGGAGUGGUGAAAUGCGUAGAGAUCCGGAGGAACACCGAAGGCGAAGGCAGUGUCCUGGCGCGUAACUGACGCUCAGGUGCGAAAGCUAGGGGAGCGAACAGG